GCCAUGGUGGUUCAAUGGUUAAGCGUUCGGCUGCUAACUGAAAGAUUGGUGAGUCAAACCUACCCAAUGGCU
rnacentral:tRNA from 1 species